rnacentral:rRNA from 1 species
AGCGAACGCUGGCGGCAGGCCUAACACAUGCAAGUCGAACGGUCAUUCGGGAUAGUGGCGGACGGGUGAGUAACACGUGGGAACGUGCCUUUUGGUUCGGAACAACUUGGGGAAACUUAAGCUAAUACCGGAUGUGCCCUUAGGGGGAAAGAUUUAUCGCCAUUAGAGCGGCCCGCGUCUGAUUAGCUAGUUGGUGGGGUAAAGGCCUACCAAGGCGACGAUCAGUAGCUGGUCUGAGAGGAUGAUCAGCCACAUUGGGACUGAGACACGGCCCAAACUCAUGCGGGGGGCAGCAGUGGGGAAUCUUGCGCAAUGGGCGAAAGCCUGACGCAGCCAUGCCGCGUGAAUGAUGAAGGUCUUAGGAUUGUAAAAUUCUUUCACCGGGGACGAUAAUGACGGUACCCGGAGAAGAAGCCCCGGCUAACUUCGUGCCAGCCGCCGCCGUAA